GGUAUGAUUUUCUUAAAUCUUCUUCUCUUUCCCAGGUAGCCUCUUUCUCGGUAUAUCUAUUCCACUGUACUCUGCACAUUCUGAUGACCCGACUCCUAGUGACUCUUUCUGCUGUUUCCAAAAUUCGAACCGGAUACUCUUCAUAAGUAAGAUCCUCUUUAACAGUUAUUUCCUCUAUCGGUAUCUGCUCUUCUAGCACCCGCAAGCACUUCUUAAGCUGUGACACGUGGAAGACAUC
rnacentral:lncRNA from 1 species